GACGAACGCUGGCGGCGUGCUUAACACAUGCAAGUCGAACGGAAAGGCCCUGCUUUUGUGGGGUGCUCGAGUGGCGAACGGGUGAGUAACACGUGAGUAACCUGCCCUUGACUUUGGGAUAACUUCAGGAAACUGGGGCUAAUACCGGAUAGGAGCUCCUGCUGCAUGGUGGGGGUUGGAAAGUUUCGGCGGUUGGGGAUGGACUCGCGGCUUAUCAGCUUGUUGGUGGGGUAGUGGCUUACCAAGGCUUUGACGGGUAGCCGGCCUGAGAGGGUGACCGGCCACAUUGGGACUGAGAUACGGCCCAGACUCCUACGGGAGGCAGCAGUGGGGAAUAUUGCACAAUGGGCGGAAGCCUGAUGCAGAAACGCCGCGUGCGGGAUGACGGCCUUCGGGGUGUAAACCGCUUUCGCCUGUGACGAAGCGUGAGUGACGGUAAUGGGUAAAGAAGCACCGGCUAACUACGUG
rnacentral:rRNA from 1 species